GAUGAACGCUGGCGGCGUGCCUAAUACAUGCAAGUUGAGCGCUCAGAGGAGGUACUUGUUCCUCCUACGUUAGCGGCGGACGGGUGAGUAACGCGUGGAUAACCUGCCUAUGAGACGGGGACAACAUUGGGAAACGAGUGCUAAUACCGGAUAAUAUAUUUAAACGCAUGGUUUAAGUGUGAAAGACGGUUUUGCUUUCCUCAAAGGUGAUCCCGCGCCCCAUUAGCUAGUUGGUAAGGUAAAGGCUUACCAAGGCAAUGAUGCGUAGCCGACCUGAGAGGGUGAUCGGCCACACUGGAACUGAGACACGGUCCAGACUCCUACGGGAGGCAGCAGUAGGGAAUCUUCCGCAAUGGGCGAAAGCUUGACGGAGCAACGCCGCGUGAGUGAUGAAGGUCUUCGGAUCGUAAAACUCUGUUAUUAGGGAAGAACAAAUGUGUAAGUAACUAUGCACGUCUUGACGGUACCUAAUCAGAAAGCCACGGCUAACUACGUG
rnacentral:rRNA from 1 species